rnacentral:rRNA from 1 species
UGCAGUCGAGCGAACAGACGAGGAGCUUGCUCCUCUGACGUUAGCGGCGGACGGGUGAGUAACACGUGGAUAACCUACCUAUAAGACUGGGAUAACUUCGGGAAACCGGAGCUAAUACCGGAUAAUAUAUUGAACCGCAUGGUUCAAUAGUGAAAGACGGUUUUGCUGUCACUUAUAGAUGGAUCCGCGCCGCAUUAGCUAGUUGGUAAGGUAACGGCUUACCAAGGCAACGAUGCGUAGCCGACCUGAGAGGGUGAUCGGCCACACUGGAACUGAGACACGGUCCAGACUCCUACGGGAGGCAGCAGUAGGGAAUCUUCCGCAAUGGGCGAAAGCCUGACGGAGCAACGCCGCGUGAGUGAUGAAGGUCUUCGGAUCGUAAAACUCUGUUAUUAGGGAAGAACAAAUGUGUAAGUAACUAUGCACGUCUUGACGGUACCUAAUCAGAAAGCCACGGCUAACUACGUGCCAGCAGCCGCGGUAAUACGUAGGUGGCAAGCGUUAUCCGGAAUUAUUGGGCGUAAAGCGCGCGUAGGCGGUUUUUUAAGUCUGAUGUGAAAGCCGGCUCACCGUGGAGGGUCAUUGGAAACUGGAAAACUUGUGCAGAGGA